CCUACGGGAGGCAGCAGUUGGGAAUAUUGGGCAAUGGGCGCAAGCCUGACCCAGCAACGCCGCGUGAAGGAAGAAGGCUUUCGGGUUGUAAACUUCUUUUCUGAGGGACGAAGAACGUGACGGUCCCUCAGUCAUAAGCCACUGCUAACUACGUGCCAGCCGCCGCGGUAAUACGUAGGUGGCAAGCGUUAUCCGGAUUUAUUGGGGGUAAAGGGCGUGUAGGCGGGAAAGCAAGUCAGAUGUGAAAACUCAGGGCUCAACCCUGAGCCUGCAUUUGAAACUGUUUUUCUUGAGUGCGGGAGAGGCAAUCGGAAUUCCGUGUGUAGCGGUGAAAUGCGUAGAUAUACGGAGGAACACCAGUGGCGAAGGCGGAUUGCUGGACAGUAACUGACGCUGAGGCGCGAAAGCGUGGGGAGCAAACAGGAUUAGAUACCCUAGUAGUC
rnacentral:rRNA from 1 species